rnacentral:rRNA from 1 species
CACGUAGGGCGCAAGCGUUGUCCGGAAUUAUUGGGCGUAAAGAGCUCGUAGGCGGUCUGUUGCGUCCGCUGUGAAAACCCGAGGCUCAACCUCGGGCCUGCAGUGGGUACGGGCAGACUAGAGUGCGGUAGGGGAGAUUGGAAUUCCUGGUGUAGCGGUGGAAUGCGCAGAUAUCAGGAGGAACACCGAUGGCGAAGGCAGAUCUCUGGGCCGUAACUGACGCUGAGGAGCGAAAGCAUGGGGAGCGAACAGG